rnacentral:rRNA from 1 species
GAUCAAAAGGACGGGGUCCCUCUGCCCCCGGCGCGACUGUCAACCGGGGCGGACUGUUCUCAGUGCGCCUCAACCGCGUCGCGUCGCUCAGGGCGGGGAGCGGCCCUCGUAAACCAGGCGCCAGGGGUCUGCGGCGAUGUCGGCAACCC